AUCCAGUUGACGAGUCCCGAAUAGGACGAAACGCGCUCUAUCGUGGAU
rnacentral:hammerhead_ribozyme from 1 species